AGUAGUAUUGUAGUAGUAGUAGUAUAGUCGUAGUAGUAGUAGUAGUAGUAGCAGCAGUAGUAGUAGUAGUAGUAGUAGUAGUAGUAGUAGUAGUGGUAGUAGUAGUAAUAGUGGGUGCCGAAUAUGUUCCCUCCUGGACAUGUUCCCCCUUGGACAUAUUCCCUUCUGGACAUUUUCCCCUCCGGACAUUUUCUACUCAAUUAUCUGUAUAAUAAGAGCGAAAUAAUAAAUAAAUGAAUAGUAAAACAGACUACUAAAGAUAAGGAACAUAUAAUAAAAAAGAAAUAUGGGAAGUAAGAAAGAAAGAGGGAAACAGAGGAAGUUUUCGGAUGUUCUGUGCGCGUUCCCGAGGCCCUUCGACUUUCCAUCCCAGAAAUGAUGAACGCGGUGAGCAGCGCAUUUACAGUACUUACGAUUAAUUUCAUAAUCCAGUCUGGUAGUUUUAAGAAGCGAGUUCUUGCAUUCACCCUCCCCGAGCCUCGGCGGGGAUAAGGAGCGCCAGCGAGCCCAAGGUCUCGCUGGCGAGCGUGGCAGUACUGGAGGGCUCCCCGAAGGGCACCUUGGUGUUCCCCGGGGCGUCCGCGGAGGUACCGGAGAUCUGCACGGGUAGAUGGGGCUCGUCAGCCGUGGUAGGCAGUCCAUCUAGGAGAGCAAACUCCGAACAAUAUACCCGGGCAGGUGAGGCUCGUUAGCCGUGGUAGGCAAUUCGCCUAGGAGAGCAAACUCCGAACAAUAAACCCGGGCAGGUGGAGGUCGUUAGCGUGAGCAGUUCACCUAGGAGAGCAAACUCCGAUCACAAACCCGGGCAGGUGGAGAUCGUUAGCGAGAGCAGUUCACCUAGGAGAAGGAAAACUCUGACCACAAACACGGGCAGGUGGAGCUCGUUAGCCGUGGUAGGCAGUCUGCCUAGGAGAGGGACAACUCCGAACAACAAACACGGGCAGGUGGAGCUCGUUAGCCGUGGUAGGCAAUCUGCCUAGGAGAAGGACAACUCCGAACAACAAACCCGGGCAGGUGGAGGUCGUUAGCGUGAGCAGUUCACCUAGGAGAGCAAACUCCGAUUACAAACCCGGGCAGGUGGAGCUCGUUAGCGUGAGCAGUUCACCUAGGAGAGCAAACUCCGAUUACAAACCCGGGCAGGUGGAGGUCGUUAGCGUAAGCAGUUCACCUAGGAGAGCAAACUCCGAUUACAAACCCGGGCAGGUGGAGGUCGUUAGCGUAAGCAGUUCACCUAGGAGAGCAAACUCCGAUUACAAACCCGGGCAGGUGGAGGUCGUUAGCGUAAGCAGUUCACCUAGGAGAGCAAACUCCGAUUGCAAACCCGGGUAGGUGGAGGUCGUUAGCGUGAGCAGUUCACCUAGGAGAGCAAACUCCGAUUACAAACCCGGGCAGGUGGAGGUCGUUAGCCGCGAGGCAGUUCACCUAGGAGAAGGAUAACUCUGACCACAAACCCGGGCAGGAGGGGGUCGUUAGCCGUGGUAGGCAGUCCUCCUAGGAGAAGGAAAACUCCGAAUUCAAACCAACACACACACACACACACACACCAGCCGGGCAGGUGGGGCUCGUUAUAGGCGUCGUAGACAAUCCACCAAGGGGAAUCAACAAUAAAAGGAUAAUAAAAGCGAACACACGAGAAGAACUGAAGAAGAAUAUGAAAUUAGAACCGGACAAAAAAGGAUAAUAUAAGAUGGAACACCGAAUAAAGGAUAGUUAAGAACACAACAUCGAGAAAGAAUAAGACACACGCGGAUCAUCCAGACUGAAACAGAAGACCAAAAAAUGGAUGGUAUAAAAAGAACGGAGAAAAGAUAACGUAAUAACAACGCACAGAAAAUAACGUAGAAAUAAAACACCAAGAAAAGGAAAAUAAGGAAAAUACAGAAACAACAUCAUUGAUACCGCCGCUCCGUGGGCGGUAGGAGAAUGAAAUGACCCUUUUCGUAGACGCACAGUAUAAUGUGGUCCAAGCUGUCAACAAUAACAUUUACCGCCAGGACCACAAUCACGACGCUCCAAAACGCCCGCGUCUCUGAGCACUAAGCCGGGCAGCUGAACACUUCACUUAGCAUCUAACGUUCAGCAUUGUAUUUCACUUACUAU